GAAAAUUCAAGGAAACAAGUGACAAAAGGUGGUGAAUCCUCCGACAAAGGCAAAGAAAUUGUACCCGAGGAUCGAUAGUCAGAGUACUCUAAAAAUUUGACUCCCGAAAUAGCUCAGAAUAGGCUGUAAAUAGCUGAUUUCAUCGAGGCG